CCUGUUUACAUGACGGUUUAAGUUGGAUUCGAAUCCGACUCGUCGAUCCGCUACUCUCGUUUUCGGCGAAGAGAAAAAGGCGAGUCGGAUUGAAGCCGACCGAUCCUCAAUCCGCUCAGACAAGUGGUUUACGGGUCGGAUUUAGCGACCGAGUUGGAUUGAACAAGCGGAAAUGUUGAUGUUUAGGACUUGUUAUACAGUUAACGUAGUGUUUUUGCACGGAAUAUGAUAGUAGCAGUGUGCGUGUACUUUGGCAACAAAUUGCCAUGAAUUAACAUGACAAAUUAAUUAAAUUUUACCCGACAAAUGCAGAUUUCGCACUUUGAAAUAGGUAAAAACAGCUUUUUAUUGUCUACAAGCAAAAUUUGUGCUACUGAAGAAUUUCCCAACCACAUGCGUAUUGCCUAAUCUGUAACGAUACCUAAAUAUAGUACCACAAAAUUGUGGGGAGCAUUCUUCACUAGUACUGCAAAUUUUAAUACUUUAUAGAGGGCAUCUGGGCAUAGACCACCAUAACAUAGCAUAUUGACCACCAUUAUUUGUAAGGGCAAUUGCUUGUACAUGUACCAGUCAACUUGACUGGUUACUUGACUGAGUCAAGUAACACAAUAAUCAGAUACAGUUGUAGUAGUUUACAGUCAAACUAUUUUUUUAUUAUGAAUUAUUAUUAUCUUGGAGGAUUGUUCAACACAUUUGGCAGCAAAAAUAACAACAAAAGUUAUGCAUUGAAUUCAAAAUGGUUGAGUGACCGAAGUGUUGGAAGAUUAAAGAUUGCAAAUGCGCAAAAGGAACCAUCAACACCACGAGAACAAUAUUACACUUGCUGCUUCAUUUAAUAAUGCCAGAGUUUUAUUGCUACUUCCUUCAAAAAUCAUCAUAAAAGCAGUGUUUGUGAUGUAAAAGCCAUUCUGACUUCUUUGUCAAAGUGUAUUUGGUUGUCUGUAUGAAGUAUAUGGUAUGAUACCCAAACUUUUAUGUCUGGAACUGUUUUGUGCAGAUUAACAUGUGGAUUUACUGUUUUGUAUAUUUUGCUUUUGUUAUUAAUUUAUAGUUGCAGUAGGCCUUACCUACUACCAAUAAAUUAAACAAAUAAAACCAUUCAUUUGA